rfam:Agrilus planipennis Contig12778, whole genome shotgun sequence.
GCAUAACUUGUUAAUUUGUAUAACUAAAAAUAUGCAAAUAGUAUAGAAAGCUAAUACGUAUAAGCUUCGAAAUUACCUUUCGACUGAAGAGGACCUUUAUUGGUCCUAUAACGGCCUGAGAUAGAGGGGUUUUAGUCGGUAGGUCCGAGGACUUCGUCCUCGGGAAUCCGACACUACCCACUCGUACGGACGCCUGGGUGUCUUUUGAAGAUUGCCCUUCUUCCACGAAA